AUGAACGCUAGCGACAGGCCUAACACAUGCAAGUCGAGGGGCAGCACAAGGAGCAAUCUGAGGUGGCGACCGGCGCACGGGUGAGUAACACGUAUGCAACCUGCCUGUAAGCGGGGAAUAACCCGUUGAAAGACGGACUAAUACCGCAUAAUACUAAAUUACUGCAUGGUAAUUUAUUUAAACAUUUAUGGCUUACAGAUGGGCAUGCACAUGAUUAGCUAGUUGGAGAGGUAACGGCUCCCCAAGGCAACGAUCAUUAGGGGUUCUGAGAGGAAGGUCCCCCACACUGGUACUGAGACACGGACCAGACUCCUACGGGAGGCAGCAGUGAGGAAUAUUGGUCAAUGGACGAGAGUCUGAACCAGCCAAGUCGCGUGCAGGAAGAAUGUUCCCUAUGGAUUGUAAACUGCUUUUGCAGGGGAAUAAAGUGCAUCACGUGUGAUGUUUUGUAUGUACUCUGCGAAUAAGGAUCGGCUAACUCCGUGCCAGCAGCCGC
rnacentral:rRNA from 1 species